rnacentral:rRNA from 1 species
GACGAACGCUGGCGGCGUGCUUAACACAUGCAAGUCGAACGGAAAGGCCCUGCUUUUGUGGGGUGCUCGAGUGGCGAACGGGUGAGUAACACGUGAGUAACCUGCCCUUGACUUUGGGAUAACUUCAGGAAACUGGGGCUAAUACCGGAUAGGAGCUCCUGCUGCAUGGUGGGGGUUGGAAAGAUUCGGCGGUUGGGGAUGGACUCGCGGCUUAUCAGCUUGUUGGUGGGGUAGUGGCUUACCAAGGCUUUGACGGGUAGCCGGCCUGAGAGGGUGACCGGCCACAUUGGGACUGAGAUACGGCCCAUACUCCUACGGGAGGCAGCAGUGGGGAAUAUUGCACAAUGGGCGGAAGCCUGAUGCAGCAACGCCGCGUGCGGGAUGACGGCCUUCGGGUUGUAAACCGCUUUCGCCUGUGACGAAGCGUGAGUGACGGUAAUGGGUAAAGAAGCACCGGCUAACUACGUG